GGAGCUGAAAGAGGAAGCUGUGCUAUUGGAGAGACUGAGCAGUACAAACCAUAUCAGGCACAAGGAAGGAAGCCCUGAGGCUGAAACUUUGCAAGCUUGUCUCAGCUGAAAGGUUUACCACCCUCCCCAACCAAAUGACCAUUGGAUCACAACAACUAAAAAAUGGCUAAAAUUCAAAUUUCUUCAAACUUGGUGUUUGGUUAGACCUCCUUGAAGAAAUGUCUCUCACCCUUCACUUCAUUCUGCUUCUUGAGUGCUUUGGACAGGCUGCUGGAGGAAGCAGCAUUGGAGAAGCAUGUUAUGGUGGGGUAAGGAGGACAGAAAACAGCUGUGGCAAGAGUGGUAAGUGUCUUCCUUCCUUCCAGCACGUUGGAGGAAGAAUGAGAUGUCUCCUUUUACACAGCAGCAAGGCGGAAGAAAGGCUUUUCCCAACAGAUGGGUGCAAGUAAGAAAGAGUAAAGCCUUCCUGCUCCUAGCAGCUAGGAAAGAGGAAUGGAAAUAUAGGCAAGAGAGUGAUGAAGCUCCCAUGCCCUCUCUUCCAGAAGCUGCAGAUGGAAGCGAUGGGAACUCUCUAUUUGUAAGCCAAGGUGAUAUGCAGAGGUGCGGCAUGCAUUCUGUAAGCUACCCGGAAUAAACAUUAACAGGAAAUGCCCUAUGAUCUCCUGCCUAGAAGCCAGGCGGCCUUCUUCUGAAUGUGCUGCCCCUGAGCCCUGUUUGAUGGGCUCCCUCAUCUUCUAACCCAGUUGACAUUACUGCUCUGUCCACUCUUCCUAUGCAGCAAGAACAUCCUGUUCGGAAUGAGAUAACACACUGAAUUUCCUCAGCAUGCUACCAUACUUCAGUUCAGCAGCAUAAGAACCAUUCUGUUAAUUUUUGCUCUUACAGCUGUUUGAAUUUGGGUAAUUGGAGGAUGCUCAGUAAUUUUCUUGGUCGUUUUUAUCCCUAAUCUAACGAGCACACACAGUAUGCAACUGCAUGUCUGAAAGCUAACCCAGAGAACUUUGUUGUUCAGUGUUCAAAUGUUUGGUAAAUA